GUGUAGCUUAGUGGUAGAGCAUGUGUUUUGUAUACACAAGCCCCAGAUUCAAAUCCAGCAC
rfam:Mus musculus chromosome 11 genomic contig, GRC reference assembly alternate locus group NOD/ShiLtJ.